rnacentral:rRNA from 1 species
CAAUAGCGUAUAUUAAAGUUGUUGCGGUUAAAAGCUCGUAGUUGGAUUUCUGCCGAGGACGACCGGUCCGCCCUCUGGGUGAGUAUCUGGUUCGACCUGGGCAUCUUCUUGGAGAACGUGGCUGCACUUGAUUGUGUGGUGCGGCAUCCAGGACUUUUACUUUGAGGAAAUUAGAGUGUUUCAAGCAAGCACACGCCUUGAAUACAUUAGCAUGGAAUAAUAAGAUAGGACCUCGGUUCUAUUUUGUUGGUUUCUAGAGCUGAGGUAAUGAUUAAUAGGGAUAGUUGGGGGCAUUCAUAUUUAACUGUCAGAGGUGACAUUAUUGGAUUUGUUAAAGACGGACUACUGCGAAAGCAUUUGCCAAGGAUGUUUUCAUUGAUCAAGAACGAAAGUUAGGGGAUCGAAGACGAUCAGAUACCAU